rnacentral:rRNA from 1 species
AACGAACGCUGGCGGCAUGCCUAACACAUGCAAGUCGAACGAGACCUUCGGGUCUAGUGGCGCACGGGUGCGUAACACGUGGGAAUUUGCCUCGGGGUAUGGAAUAACUCAGGGAAACUUGAGCUAAUACCAUAUAAUGUCUUCGGACCAAAGAUUUAUCGCCCUGAGAUAAGCCCGCGUAGGAUUAGCUAGUUGGUGGGGUAAAGGCUCACCAAGGCGACGAUCCUUAGCUGGUCUGAGAGGAUGAUCAGCCACACUGGGACUGAGACACGGCCCAGACUCCUACGGGAGGCGAGCAGUGGGGAAUAUUGGACAAUGGGCGAAAGCCUGAUCCAGCAAUGCCGCGUGAGUGAAGAAGGUCGUUCGGA